rnacentral:pre_miRNA from 1 species
CUAAUACUCCCUCCGUCCCAUAUUAAGUGACUUUCUAUUACAUGCAUCUAGACAUUUUUUAGGCAUAGAUACAUUCAUAUUUGGACAAAUUUGAGUCACUUAAUAUGAGACGGAGGGAGUAUUUA